rnacentral:rRNA from 1 species
AUUGAACGCUGGCGGCAGGCCUAACACAUGCAAGUCGAGCGGAUGAAGGGAGCUUGCUCCUGGAUUCAGCGGCGGACGGGUGAGUAAUGCCUAGGAAUCUGCCUGGUAGUGGGGGAUAACGUCCGGAAACGGGCGCUAAUACCGCAUACGUCCUGAGGGAGAAAGUGGGGGAUCUUCGGACCUCACGCUAUCAGAUGAGCCUAGGUCGGAUUAGCUAGUUGGUGGGGUAAAGGCCUACCAAGGCGACGAUCCGUAACUGGUCUGAGAGGAUGAUCAGGCACACGGGAAGUGAGACACGGUCCAGACUCCUGCGGGAGGCAGCAGUGGGGAAUAUUGGGCAAUGGGGGAAAGCCUGAUCCAGCCAUGCCGCGUGUGUGAAGAAGGUCUUCGGAUUGGAAAGCACUUUAAGUUGGGAGGAAGGGCAGUAAGUUAAUACCUUGCUGUUUUGACGGUACCAACAGAAUAAGCACCGGCUAACUUCGUG